AUGAAGUUUGACGGAAUUUUGAAACUACUGGAAAUCACAAACUCUCAGGAAUUUAGUCACAACCUUCUAUCUAGGGUAUCCACUGAAGAAAUAGCAAUUAGAAUGGGUGAUGGAACUCUUCUGCACUUCACUGAUGGUGAUGUUCACAAAGUUCUGGGUAUCCCAUUCUCGGGAAAGGAGUUGCGAAUUCCUUCCACGGAAGAAGUCAAUCACAUCAAAAAUGUAAUAUGCAUCCGACUGAAUGUCCCGGAGUUUAAAAAAACUCACGAGAAGUGUAGUCACUGA
rnacentral:rRNA from 1 species